UGUGGGAGCGGGCUUGCCCGCGAUUGCAAUGUGUCAGCCAACAUCCUCGGUGACUGAUACACCGCGAUCGCGGGCAAGCCCGCUCCCACA
rnacentral:antisense_RNA from 1 species